GAGUUCGAUUAUGGCUCAGAUUGAACGCUGGCGGGAUGCUUUUUAUGGCACAUGCAAGUCGAACGGCAGCACGGACUUCUGGUCUGCGGUGGCGAGUGGCGAACGUAAGAGUAAUGUAUCGGAACGUGCUCUAGUAGCGGGGAUAACUACGCGAAAGCGUAGCUAAUACCGCAUACGCUCUCCUGGGAAAGGGGACCUUCGGCCUCGCACUAUUAGAGCGGGUCGAUAUCGGAUUAGCUAGUUGGUGGUAACGUCUUCCACCAAGGCGAUGAUCCGUAGCUGGUUUGAGAGGACGACCAGCCACACUGGGACUGAGAUACGCCCAGACUCCUACGGAGGCAGCAGUGGGGAAUUUUGAUAAUAAACUCCUGAUCCAGCCAUCUCCGCGUGUGCGAUGAAGGCCUUCGCUAGUAAAGCACUUUUGGCAGGAAGAAACGGCACGGGAUAAUACCCCGUGCAACUGAUUGUACCCGCAAGCAACAAGCACCGGCUAACUACGUGCCAGCAGCCGCGGUAAUACGGGAGGGUGCAAGCGUUAAUCGGAAUUACUGGCGUAGCGUGCGCAGGCGGUUCGGGAAAGAAAGAUGUGAAAUCCCAGAGCUUUUAACUUUUGGAACUGCAUUUUUAACUACCGAGCUAGAGUGUGUCAGAGUGGAGGUGGAAUUCCGCGUAGUAGCAGUGAAUGCGUAGAUAUGCGGAGGAACACCGAUGGCGAAGGCAGCCUCCUGGGAUAACACUGACGCUCAUGCACGAAAGCGUGGGAGCAAAACAGGAUUAGAUACCCUGGUAGUCCACGCCCUAAACGAUGUCAACUAGCUGUUGGGGCCUUCGCCUUGGUAGCGCAGCCAACGCGUGAAGUUGACCGCCUGGGGAGUACGGUCGCAAGAUUAAACUCAAAGGAAUUGACGGGGACCCGCACAAGCGGUGGAUGAUGUGGAUUAAUCUGAUGCAACGCGAAAAACCUUACCUACCCUGACAUGUCUGGAAUCCCGAAGAGAUUUGGGAGUGCUCGCAAGAGAACCGAACACAGGUGCUGCAUGACUGUCGUCAGCUCGUGUCGUGAGAUGCUGGGUUAAGUCCCGGCAACGAGCGUGCAACCCUUUUGUCGAGCCAUUAGUUGCUACGAAAGGGCACUCUAAUGAUACUGCCGGCACAAACUGAGGAAGGUGGGGAUGACGUCAAGUCCUCAUGGCCCUUAUGGGCAGGGCUUCACACGUCAUACAAUGGUCGGGGACAGAGGGUCGCCAACCCGCGAGGGGAGCCAAUCCUGCGAAACCCGAUCGUAGUCCGGAUCGCAGUCUGUAACUCGACUGGUGUGAAGUCGGAAUCGUUAGUAAUCGCGGAUCAGCAUGUCGUGGUGAAUACGUUCCUGGGUCUUGUACACACCGCCCGUCACAACAUGGGAGUGGGUUUUACCAGAAGUAGUUAUCUAACCGCAAGGGGGGGCGAUAUUACUGGGUAGGAUCUUAUGACUGGGGUGAAGUCGUAACAAGGUAG
rnacentral:rRNA from 1 species